rnacentral:rRNA from 1 species
GAGGAAUAUUGGUCAAUGGGCGGAAGCCUGAACCAGCCAUCCCGCGUGCAGGAAGACAGCCCUAUGGGUUGUAAACUGCUUUUCCAGUGGGCGAAACACUCGUACGUGUACGAGAUUGACGGUACACUGGGAAUAAGCAUCGGCUAACUCCGUGCCAGCAGCCGCGGUAAUACGGAGGAUGCAAGCGUUAUCCGGAUUUAUUGGGUUUAAAGGGUGCGUAGGCGGAUGAAUAAGUCAGUGGUGAAAGGCUGCAGCCUAACUGUAGACUUGCCGUUGAUACUGUUUAUCUUGAGUAUGGUCAAGGCAGGCGGAAUGUGUAAUGUAGCGGUGAAAUGCUUAGAUAUUACACAGAACACCGAUUGCGAAGGCAGCUUGCUGGGCCAUUACUGACGCUGAUGCACGAAAGCGUGGGGAGCGAACAG